rnacentral:rRNA from 1 species
UACACACCGCCCGUCACACCAUGGGAGUUGGCUUUACCUGAAGACGGUGCGCUAACCGCAAGGAAGCAGCCGGCCACGGUAGGGUCAGCGACUGGGGUG